rnacentral:rRNA from 1 species
UACGAGGGGGGCGAGCGUUGUUCGGAAUUAUUGGGCGUAAAGGGUGCGUAGGUGGCAUGGUAAGUCGGAUGUGAAAUCCCGGGGCUCAACCCCGGAACUGCAUUCGAUACUGCUGAGCUAGAGUACUGGAGAGGAGAUUGGAAUUUACGGUGUAGCAGUGAAAUGCGUAGAUAUCGUAAGGAAGACCAGUGGCGAAGGCGGAUCUCUGGACAGUUACUGACACUGAGGCACGAAGGCCAGGGGAGCAAACGGG